rnacentral:rRNA from 1 species
GGCUAGCCGUAAACUUUUACUUACACUCAAUCGCCAGGGAACUACGAGCUAAGCUUAAAACCCAAAGGACUUGACGGUACCCCAUAUCCCCCUAGAGGAGCCUGUCCUAUAAUCGAUAACCCACGUUAAACCUCACCAUUUUUAGUUAAUCAGCCUGUAUACCUCCGUCGUCAGCUUACCACGUGAGCGUUAAUUAGUGGGCCUAAUGUUUUUCACCAAUACGUCAGGUCAAGGUGCAGCAAAUGAAAUGGGAAGAGAUGGGCUACACUCUCUAUUUUAGAAAAGACGAAAAACUACCUAUGAAACCUAGUUAGAAGGCGGAUUUAGCAGUAAAAAGGAAUCAGCAUGUCCCUUUUAAUCCGGCACUGGGGUGUGUACACACCGCCCGUCA